CGGGGUGAGUAAUGCCUAGGAAUCUGCCUGGUAGUGGGGGACAACGUUUCUAAAUGAACGCUAAUACCGCAUACGUCCUACGGGAGAAAGCAGGGGACCUUCGGGCCUUGCGCUAUCAGAUGAGCCUAGGUCGGAUUAGCUAGUUGGUGAGGUAAUGGCUCACCAAGGCGACGAUCCGUAACUGGUCUGAGAGGAUGAUCAGUCACACUGGAACUGAGACACGGUCCAGACUACCUACGGGAGGCAGCAGGC
rnacentral:rRNA from 1 species